AAUAAGAAAACUUUUAAACAUUUUACGUUAGCAUGAAAAGUAUGCAGACUAGCGUCUAAUUGUGAAAAUGUCACAUGUUAUCGAAGCAAUCGGUCUUCUAAUAACCAUAAUACUUCAGUGUAACGGCGUCAGCUUGAGGCGGCAGCUUGAGCAUAUUGCUAAAACGCGACUAGAAAACCGUGGAUUGUUGAAUGACGCUAUGCCAUCGAGGAGAUACGAGUUGGAUCCUCGAGAGUUAUCGCAGAUUCUGGGGGUGCCAAAUCGACCUAGUCAUCUCCCUGAAGCUGAAGCAAUUCUUCCAGGACAUACGCUUAAUAGACCAACACUAGGAAUGUUGAAGUCUUCCCUGAAAUUUCCUCAUAAGGAAUUAGAAGACGGGGCUGGGGUUUAUGGCAGCUUCGAUAAUUUAGGGUUAAAAUUUAACGCUAAAAAUGAAAGAGUCUUAUACACAGGAUUUCGAAGAUUCCCUGCAGACUUCAUUGUGGUAAUACCCUCGAAUACGGAAAUCAAUAAUAACAAGCCAAGGUAAAUUUAAACACCAUGCUUAUACUUUGAUACUAUAAAUAAAAAACCAAGUACUUGUUCCAGUUUUAAGGUGACAUCGACAGUUUUAGAUUUAGAAAGAAAAGUUAAAGCGAGAAAUCGUCUGUUGAAUGUUAUAAAAGAACUCAACAAUCCUGCAGGAAAGAGCUCCAAAAAAAUGUAUGUUGGUGAUUUCAAUAAAAUUUCUAAAAAUGAUCACAAGAUUGAUAAAAAAGAAGGCAAAUCACAAUACCUGAACGAUGAC